GAGCCUGCGGCUUAAUUUGACUCAACACGGGGAAACUCACCAGGUCCAGACACAAUGAGGAUUGACAGAUUGAGAGCUCUUUCUUGAUUUUGUGGGUGGUGGUGCAUGGCCGUUCUUAGUUGGUGGAGUGAUUUGUCUGCUUAAUUGCGAUAACGAACGAGACCUUAACCUGCUAAAUAGCCCGCCCUGCUCCGGCGGCGCGCCGGUUUUUUAGAGGGACUAUCGGUUCAAGCCGAUGGAAGUUUGAGGCAUUACCAGGU
rnacentral:rRNA from 1 species